GAUGAACGCUAGCGGCAGGCCUAACACAUGCAAGUCGAGGGGUAACUAGAGUGAUAGCAAUAUUACUUUGGCUAGACCGGCGCACGGGUGCGUAACACGUAUGCAACCUACCUUAUACUGGGGAAUAACUUCGAGAAAUCGGCGCUAAUACCCCAUAACAUUGCGAAGAGGCAUCUCUUUGCAAUUAAAGCUCCGGCGGUAUAAGAUGGGCAUGCGUCCAAUUAGCUAGUUGGUGAGGUAACGGCUCACCAAGGCUACGAUUGGUAGGGGUUCUGAGAGGAUGAUCCCCCACACUGGUACUGAGACACGGACCAGACUCCGACGGGAGGCAGCAGUGAGGAAUAUUGCGCAAUGGACGAAAGUCUGACGCAGCCAUGCCGCGUGCAGGAUGACGGCCCUAUGGGUUGUAAACUGCUUUUGUACGGGAAUAAACCCUUCUACGUGUAGGAGGCUGAAGGUACCGUAAGAAUAAGCACCGGCCAACUCCGUGCCAGCCGCCGCUGUAACAC
rnacentral:rRNA from 1 species